AUUGAACGCUGGCGGCAUGCCUUACACAUGCAAGUCGAACGGUAACAGGUCUUCGGAUGCUGACGAGUGGCGAACGGGUGAGUAAUACAUCGGAACGUGCCUAGUAGUGGGGGAUAACUACUCGAAAGAGUGGCUAAUACCGCAUGAGAUCUACGGAUGAAAGCAGGGGAUCGCAAGACCUUGUGCUACUAGAGCGGCCGAUGGCAGAUUAGGUAGUUGGUGGGAUAAAAGCUUACCAAGCCGACGAUCUGUAGCUGGUCUGAGAGGACGAUCAGCCAAACUAGGACUGAGACACGGCCCAGACUCCUACGGGAGUCAGCAGUGGGGAAUUUUGGACAAUGGGCGCAAGCCUGAUCCAGCAAUGCCGCGUGCAGGAUGAAGGCCUUCGGGUUGUAAACUGCUUUUGUACGGAACGAAAAGCCCUGGGUUAAUACCCUGGGGUCAUGACGGUACCGUAAGAAUAAGCACCGGCUAACUACGUGCCAGCCGCCGCGGUAAUAC
rnacentral:rRNA from 1 species